rnacentral:rRNA from 1 species
GAGGAUUUCUGGCGGCGUGCCUAACACAUGCAAGUCGAGCGAGAAGCUGAUGAUUGACUCUUCGGAGGAGAGAAUCAGUGGAAAGCGGCGGACGGGUGAGUAACGCGUAGGCAACCUGCCCUUUGCAGAGGGAUAGCCUCGGGAAACCGGGAUUAAAACCUCAUGAUGCUGUAUGUCCGCAUGGGCAGACGGUCAAAUAUUUAUCGGCAGAGGAUGGGCCUGCGUCUGAUUAGUUAGUUGGUGGGGUAACGGCCUACCAAGGCAACGAUCAGUAGCCGACCUGAGAGGGUGAUCGGCCACAUUGGAACUGAGACACGGUCCAAACUCCUACGGGAGGCAGCAGUGGGGAAUAUUGCACAAUGGGGGAAACCCUGAUGCAGCAACGCCGCGUGAGCGAAGAAGGCCUUUGGGUCGUAAAGCUCUGUCCUUGGGGAAGAAAAAAUGACGGUACCCAAGGAGGAAGCCCCGGCUAACUACGUGCCAGCAGCCGCGGUAAUACGUAGGGGGCAAGCGUUAUCCGGAAUUAUUGGGCGUAAAGAGUAUGUAGGUGGUUUCUUAAGCGCAGGGUAUAAGGCAAUGGCUUAACCAUUGUUCGCCCCGUGAACUGAGAGACUUGAGUGCUGGAGAGGAAAGCGGAAUUCCUAGUGUAGCGGUGAAAUGCGUAGAUAUUAGGAGGAACACCAGUGGCGAAGGCGGCUUUCUGGACAGUAACUGACACUGAGAUACGAAAGCGUGGGGAGCAAACAGGAUUAGAUACCCUGGUAGUCCACGCCGUAAACGA